GUUCGCGGAGGAGGCCGUGGGAAGGAGAGGAUGGCGUUGCUGGGGCGUACGGGAGGUCCGUGGGAGAGAGGGGAAGUCGUGUGAGGAGAGUGUGAGCACCAAGGGAAGGUCACUGAGAGGAAGAGUGAGUAAGGAAUUUGGCGCGUGUGGGAGAUCCGAGAGGAUGAAGGGAAUUGUGUGCGGGAGCGAGAGUGCAGAGGGAGUUGCGAGCGAAAUGAGCAGGAAGAAUGACUUCGGUGAGUGUCCAGUGAGGAGGGUGAGUGUGGUGAGGGUGACAAUGAGAGUCCGGACUGUGUGAGGGAGGGGACUAUGGAAUAGGAAUCGAUAUGUAUGAGGAAUUUCGGGUGAUGUAAGAGGCAUAUGAAACAAUAGGGAGAGGUAGGUUUAGAGGGAGAUGAGAAUGUAGUUGCUGGAGAUGGGGAUGACACAAGAGGGGAUUGUAGAGUGUGGUUUAGGGUGGGAGAGUAGGGGCGCGUUGGUAGUGGUAUAAUGGCAGUGUGGUGAGGGGAGAUAGGUUGGUAUAGUUGCUAUAAAUUUAAAGGUUGACGAGGGAACAUCGCCGGUGUAUGCGUGAAGUGUUGGUGUGUGUGGCCUAAUAAGGUCGAGAGGUAGAGGAGUAAGCAUGGGUCGCCGAUGUUGGUGACGUGAGAUAAUUGUACUAGUGUGUGUGCGUGGCCUAUUGGGGUCGAGGUGUAGAGGAGUAGGCACAAGUCAUCGAUGUUGGUGACGUGCGAGAAUGUGAGUGGCCUGUGUUAUGGCCAUUGGGGUUGAAAGGUGGAGUGAGUAUGAGUCACCGAUGCUAGUGACGUGAGAUAAUGGUAUUUGUGUGCGUGCGUGGCCUAUUGGUGUCGAGGUGUGGAGGAGUGAGCAUGAGUCGCCGAUGUUGGUGACGUGCGAGAACGGUAUUGUGUGUGUGAGUGGCCAUUGGGGCCGAGAGGUGGAGUGAN
rnacentral:lncRNA from 1 species